rnacentral:rRNA from 1 species
GAGUUUGAUUAUGGCUCAGGACGAACGCUGGCGGCGUGCCUAAUACAUGCAAGUAGAACGCUGAAGAGAGGAGCUUGCUCUUCUUGGAUGAGUUGCGAACGGGUGAGUAACGCGUAGGUAACCUGCCUUGUAGCGGGGGAUAACUAUUGGAAACGAUAGCUAAUACCGCAUAACAAUGGAUGACACAUGUCAUUUAUUUGAAAGGGGCAAUUGCUCCACUACAAGAUGGACCUGCGUUGUAUUAGCUAGUAGGUGAGGUAACGGCUCACCUAGGCGACGAUACAUAGCCGACCUGAGAGGGUGAUCGGCCACACUGGGACUGAGACACGGCCCAGACUCCUACGGGAGGCAGCAGUAGGGAAUCUUCGGCAAUGGGGGCAACCCUGACCGAGCAACGCCGCGUGAGUGAAGAAGGUUUUCGGAUCGUAAAGCUCUGUUGUAAGUCAAGAACGAGUGUGAGAGUGGAAAAUUCACACUGUGUCGGUAGCUUACCAGAAAGGGACGGCUAACUACGUGCCAGCAGCCGCGGUAAUACGUAGGUCCCGAGCGUUGUCCGGAUUUAUUGGGCGUAAAGCGAGCGCAGGCGGUUUGAUAAGUCUGAAGUUAAAGGCUGUGGCUCAACCAUAGUUCGCUUUGGAAACUGUCAAACUUGAGUGCAGAAGGGGAGAGUGGAAUUCCAUGUGUAGCGGUGAAAUGCGUAGAUAUAUGGAGGAACACCGGUGGCGAAAGCGGCUCUCUGGUCUGUAACUGACGCUGAGGCUCGAAAGCGUGGGGAGCGAACAGGAUUAGAUACCCUGGUAGUCCACGCCGUAAACGAUGAGUGCUAGGUGUUGGAUCCUUUCCGGGAUUCAGUGCCGCAGCUAACGCAUUAAGCACUCCGCUUGGGGAGUACGACCGCAAGGUUGAAACUCAAAGGAAUUGACGGGGGCCCGCACAAGCGGUGGAGCAUGUGGUUUAAUUCGAAGCAACGCGAAGAACCUUACCAGGUCUUGACAUCCCGAUGCUAUUUCUAGAGAUAGAAAGUUACUUCGGUACAUCGGUGACAGGUGGUGCAUGGUUGUCGUCAGCUCGUGUCGUGAGAUGUUGGGUUAAGUCCCGCAACGAGCGCAACCCCUAUUGUUAGUUGCCAUCAUUCAGUUGGGCACUCUAGCGAGACUGCCGGUAAUAAACCGGAGGAAGGUGGGGAUGACGUCAAAUCAUCAUGCCCCUUAUGACCUGGGCUACACACGUGCUACAAUGGUUGGUACAACGAGUUGCGAGUCGGUGACGGCAAGCUAAUCUCUUAAAGCCAAUCUCAGUUCGGAUUGUAGGCUGCAACUCGCCUACAUGAAAGUCGGAAUCGCUAGUAAUCGCGGAUCAGCACGCCGCGGUGAAUACGUUUCCCGGGCCUUGUCCCCCCGCCCCGUCA